AAGAAGCUGAACAGACAUCCUUCAGUCAUUCCCCAGGUUUAGUUUCAGGGAUCAAGGGUGCUGUACAGGCUGCUGCUGGACUCCAAGAUGUACCUGAGACAGGUGCUGAUCUCACAGGUUGUGCUGCUGUUGGUGGUGGAGAGUGGCUGGACUCUGUCCUGUAUACCUUGUUACAUGGCAAGAUGUCCAGAAGUACUGCAGUGUGGAGGGGGGAAAGUGCUGGAGCCGUGCGGAUGCUGCUACUAGUGCGCCAAACAGAAGGAUGAGAUUUGUGCAGGCCCGUUCGACGAUUCUGGGACAUGUGACGAGGGACUGGAGUGUCUGAGAAGUGGACGCUACAAUGAGGGAGUGUGUAGAGAAAAGACUAACGAAACCACCACACUACGUCCUGAGACCACCACACGCGACGUAGGAAAAGCACAUCAAGAUUUCAUUGAGUGGCUGAAAUCCAGGAACAUACGCAUACACUGAGGAGAAGAAGGCGCAGACGAUUCGAGUGACACUGAAACUACUCUCCAAAUGAACACUUUCUAUUAUGUCAGCAGUAGCAUUCGUGCAUGUUUGCUUUAUUUUUAUUUUUUAUGCAGCGGUUAAGAUGUGGAGUUGUCGCUACUUUUAAUUCCAAAUAAUUCCAUACGUUAUAAACCAUUCAUGCAUGUGAAUACUUCAAAACACAGAGUAUAUAUAACUCUGGUUGUAAGGGCUGCUUGAUGCCUCAUGAAUAUGAUAUACUGAUAAAAAUGAAAGUCUAAUAAAUGUGAAAUGGGUCAUGUAUCCCUGGAGAGGGUGACUGUCUGGACUGGCAUGUAGAUUAAGAUGAUCCUUUAUGUUUUAUUAACCUCAUUAUAUAAUAAACUUCAGGGAUUAUUUUGUAUGAAUGAGUUUCACUGCAUGUCUUCUUGUCCUAAACGUAUACAUUGUUCCCUUAAGUGUCCAUAAAUUGGGGCCUGAUAACAGUGUGUAUGUUUAUUAAAAAUGCAUGGGCAA